UACGUAGGAGACGAGCGUUGUCCGGAAUUACUGGGCGUAAAGCGCGUGUAGGCGAAUGAGCAAGUCUGCUGUGAAAGCUCCUGGCUUAACCGGGAGUGGUCGGUGGAAACUGCUCGUCUGGAGGACGGUAGAGGUAGGUAGAAUUCCCGGUGUAGUGGUGAAAUGCGUAGAGAUCGGGAGGAAUACCUGUGGCGAAGGCGGCCUACUGGGCCGGACCUGACGCUGGAGGCACGAAAGCGUGGGGAUCGAACAGG
rnacentral:rRNA from 1 species